AAUUUCUCGGAGGCCGUUGGGCAGCUUUGCAGAUGAGAAGUGUAUCAGCCUCUUAAGGGUUUCGUUCAGAUGAGACGAGGCGGGAGCCUUGAGCUGACAGGGCUGCGUGGGUUCAGGAGAGGGAGCAGAAGACUCUCCCGAGCCCCCCAGCCCCUGUCUUGCACCCUUGGCUGCUCCCAGAGGCUCUCCAAUCUGCCAGACCUCUCUGGAUCUAGACUUUAGAAGGUGCAGAGAGAAGCUAAACGUAUUUUUGACUGGUAUGAACCCAUUCUACUUUCAUGCAGUAAAUAUAAUUUUACACUGCUUAGUGACCCUUGUGCUGAUGUACACCUGUGAUAAAACUGUCUUCAAGAAUCGUGGACUUGCUUUUGUAACGGCAUUGCUUUUUGCUGUACAUCCUGUUCAUACUGAGGCGGUGGCUGGGAUCGUUGGCAGAGCGGACGUGUUAGCGUGUCUGCUGUUUCUAUUGGCCUUUCUCUCCUACAACAGGAGUCUGGAUCAGGGCUGUGUUGGGGGAAGUUUCCCUUCCACGGUGUCUCCCUUCUUCUUGAUGCUCAGUUUGUUUCUGGGGACCUGUGCGAUGCUGGUGAAAGAGACAGGCAUCACGGUGUUUGGAGUGUGCUUGGUUUAUGACCUCUUUUCCCUUUCCAACAAGCAAGACAAGUCGAGCAAUGGGGCCCUCUGUCCACGCAGCCCACAGCAGCCCGGGAGCCCCCAGCCCUCCUCACUGCCAGGCCAUCCUCACCGGGAGAAUGGGAAGCAGCAGCGGUUCCCUCACAAAGGAGCUUGGGGUGGCUGCCACUCUCCACUGCCACCAGAACCCAAGAGCAGUGGAUUCCCAGUGUCCCCACGAGCUGUGUGGUCCAUGAUGAGGUAUCUGAGAGCAAGCAGCAAUAGAAAUUUCCUGCUUACCAUGAGACCAUUUUUAAAAAGGGCCAUUUUGGUCCUAAGUUAUGUGCUUGUCAUUUUGUACUUCCGUCUGUGGAUAAUGGGAGGAUCUAUGCCCCUCUUUUCAGAGCAGGAUAAUCCAGCUUCAUUUUCGCCUUACAUUCUUACGAGAUUCCUCACCUAUUCCUACCUCUUGGCCUUCAACGUGUGGCUUCUGCUUGCACCCGUGACCCUGUGCUAUGACUGGCAGGUCGGCAGUAUUCCUCUGGUAGAGACCAUAUGGGACAUGCGGAACUUAGCCACCAUCCUUCUGGCAGUUGUGAUAGCCUUAUUGAGCCUGCACUGCUUAGCAGCCUUUAAGAGACUGGAGCACAAGGAGGUUUUAGUCGGCUUGUUGUUCCUGGUGUUCCCGUUCAUUCCAGCCAGCAACCUCUUCUUCAGGGUGGGUUUUGUGGUGGCGGAGAGAGUCCUUUACAUGCCUAGCAUGGGCUACUGCAUCCUUUUUGUGCAUGGACUGAGCAAGCUCUGCACUUGGCUGAAUCGAUGUGGGGCCACCACCCUGAUUGUGUCCACUGUGUUGCUGCUGUUGCUUUUCUCUUGGAAAACUGUGAAACAGAAUGAAAUUUGGCUGUCAAGAGAGUCCCUAUUCAGGUCUGGAGUUCAAACUAUGCCCCACAAUGCCAAGGUUCACUACAACUAUGCCAAUUUCCUGAAGGACCAAGGUCGGAACAAGGAAGCGAUCUACCACUACAGAACAGCCCUCAAGUUGUAUCCACGCCAUGCAAGUGCGCUGAACAACCUUGGAACACUGACGAGAGACACAGCAGAGGCAAAGAUGUACUAUCAGAGGGCUCUCCAGCUGCAUCCACAGCAUAACCGGGCUCUUUUCAAUCUGGGGAAUCUCCUCAAGUCCCAGGAGAAAAAGGAAGAAGCUAUCACCUUACUGAAGGAUUCCAUCAAGUAUGGUCCAGAGUUUGCAGAUGCAUAUUCAAGCUUAGCUUCGUUAUUGGCUGAGCAGGUAAUUGUUUCACAUAGUAGUUUUUUUCAAUGUUAUUGUUACAUGUAUAAAUUAAUGUUACACAGAUUUUUGUACUAAUGAUUUAAUUUGUAAACCCAUAGUGGACAACCAAUGUCUAUGUCAGUUUCUUUUGGACAGAAAUUACAAGCCUAAUUUUCUCACUCCAAUAUUCUCUGUGUAGUGCAGGGUGCUUUUAGACAAAGAUGGUCCAUUAUUGGCCAUUGAUAUAUUCUCUCUCACUUUGGUACAGAAUCUAUCAAGAACAAUACAUGAUAUUUGAUGUUUUUAUUACCACUGACUUGUAAUAUUUUUCUGAGGAAUUGCUAGUGGUCUAAGAUCGCUGAACUCAAUAUGGAGCCAUUUGAUAAUCCUACAAAUUCUGUUUUAACAUCUGUUAAAAUAUUACAGAGGCUCAUGAGACAGGCUCCUAAGAGAACAUUUUUUAUGGCAUAAAACAGAGAUGUGUUUUCAAUCCCCUUCUUCUUUUUAGUCGUGUCUAAAUGAUUUGAUACCAGUUUUCAGAGUCUUAGAUGCAUGACCCCUGCUAUGGAGAAACAGAUAUAAGUUGUCUUCUCUCUAAAUUGAUGAUAUAGUUUUGUUGACACACAUAGUGCCCUUGAUAGACAGUAGAUUCUGCUACCAUAAAAUUGCCAGAUUAUCUUUAAAACUCAAACUCAACAUCUCUGCAACAUGCCCGACAGCAUUCAGUUGGCUUAAGGGUAAUAAGUGAUUUGAUACUGUAUGUCAGAUUUGUAGGGAGCAAUUUGCAUCAAAAAUUUUUGGAGGCUCCAGCAAGAAGCAAAAUUAGGACAUUCUAUGAAUAUUUAAGUGACAGAGAAUAUAAACCUAGUUGUUUUGCCCUUUCUCCCUGUAGGAUAGGCGGGCUUUCGAUUAAAAACCUCUGUGUGUUGGAUGAUUUUAAUGCAUGCUUUAGUAUAAUGUGUGAGCUAAAAUGGUCAUGGACGUGUCUGUGCUAUACACUGGCAGUCCUCAGCUGCCCUUGGCUUGUGUUGAAACAGACACAGAGGCUGGCUUCAUCAGUGUUGCUUUGUCUCACCUAACCCGGGACCCUUCCUUUUCAUGAGCCCCUCCCCUGCCUCUGACUGGCUGGUUGUUUUGCAGUUACUCAGAUGUGCCAAGUGUGCUUCUCUCUCACAGCCUUUGCACCAACUGUUCCUGCAGCACUUCUCUCCCAGAUAGAUAUCUUAGAGUUUCCAAGAUACUUCAUAUCAUGCUGGUUUCUGACCAAAUGUUACUAUAUCAGAGAGGUCUUCUGAGAUAACCCUUUGUAAACAGGAACCUUCCGCUGCCCAUCAUGUUCUCUACCACCAUGUCCUGCUUACUUUCCCUAUAGUAUUUAUCACCAUCUAAGACACAUUUAUUUGUUUAUGGACUUUCUGCCACCAUUAGAAUAUUUGACUCUAUGAGAACAGGUAUGUGUUUUAUUCAUCUAAGCUCAUUUUAAAAAUGAUCAAGAUUUUAAUGAUGUUGAACUUUAUUUUAGUUCCUUCUGUAGUAUCUUUGCAUUCAGCCUUACUAUUAACAAAUUUGGUAGCAGAUGGAAGUUUAAACAGGAUAACAUAUAUACUUUUUCCUUAGUUGUGUGUAAGAAGUGUCAGAUGGCUUAUUUAAAACCGAUUACUUGAUAAAUUUAGUGUUUUGUGAACUGCAAUGGCAAAUUGCUACCAAGUAAUUGCAUUUUACGUAGUUGAAGUUGUGAACAAUUGUUAAGAAAAACAAAUGAUGACUAGGAUCAUUAUCUUUUCUUACAUACAAAGGUCCCCUCUUUUAGCACUUUCCUGUUCUAGAUGUGAAUGUAAAAUGCUAUGAGAUCUAAGAAUGUAACUGAAAGAUUGAAAAGUUCUUUCUUCUGCCCCUUUGGGCAAUUGAUUUGAGCAUGAAAACAAUGAAGCAGCUGUUGAGCGUAACUCAGGACUGCCUUCCCCUCUCUGACUUUCAACAUCCUAUCUUCAUGUUUUGAACUAUUUAGUCAUAAAAGAGUGCAUCAGAUGUGCAAGCAAGACACAAACUGUUAGAGAAAACCCCACCUAGCUUAACAUUUUUUGGUAGCAAAUGAAUUCAUUUCUUGGUUGCACAACUUUAUUUAAUAGCAUCCUGGCAUUUCAGACACCCAAGAGUGUGUGAAAUCAGUAUUGACAAACCUUGGUCAACGUGUAACACACAUUGAAGCUAUCCCCUUAGUCAAGCGACUUGUCCUCCAUUGCCACCAUCUGUCCACGUGCACAGCCCCCACAGACUGUGGUUGUGGGUCAGUGUCAUGCCAAAAAGCUCUUUCCUACACUCAGCUGAAAUCAGCCAUUUUGCAGGCAGUUUUUCAGAAGCUGGAUGAAAGGAUUCAUUCUGUAUUUACAUCAGCCUGACAUAUUCUGUAUUUAUAUUAGCCUGACAUUUCUGAUUUUCUAGGACUUUUUAUUUUCCUGCCGUACAGUGUAUUGACUACCGUUUCCAGCUCUUUCAGUUGGCAAACUUGAUAAUAGUUUUAGUUAAAUAACUAGUUUAUGUCUUUGAUUUUAAAAAAUGUUAUGAAGAUCAGUAUUAGUUAGGAAGCCCUGCAGCAUAUCUGUAGAACCUUCUUUCCAGGUUGACCUUUAUCUUAUGCCAGACUCCUUGGGUAAACUUAUUCAAGCAUUCAUUAAUUUGUUGAAUUAUAUUAUCCUCUAGCUCACCUCUCUCAGUCUUGUCUACAGAGAUGUUUCGAGACACAUUUUCAGACACCUGCCAAAAUCCUUCCCCUGAUGUAAGCCUGUGAAUCUAUAAUAUCAAAAAAGGAAACUAGGUUUAUUUGGUAUACCUUGCUCUUAUUAUAAGCAUGCUGCUGUCUGUUGACAUCAUUUCCCAGCCUCAGUGCCAAUAAAACCAUGAAUGUAGGAUUUGUCAGAAACUAAUAUUGUGUUCCUUACUCUGUUGUAACCUGAAGGGAGAAAUUUAAUCUGUUUGCGCAAAGUAGGGGAUUUGACAAAUUUGAAAAAUAGAUUAAUGAGUUGAAAAGACAUUAUAUGGUAGAACAUAUUAAGGCCAUAAUGGAGCCCAAGUUUUACAUUGAUAGAUAAUAGGAAGUAACAGUAAAUAUCUGAGGAGACCAUUCUAAAACAUGUGAGGAAGGAAAUCUUGUGGAAAACACACGAUGUGUUUUGGAAAAGGCUUUUAUUUGCAUUCUGGUGUGAGUAGUUGAGAGCCUUGUUUGCAGAAGAAAGUGAGGGAAUGGAUAGAAUAUCGUGGAAAAAGAAAGAUUUCCAUGGUACAUAGGGACUGUCAGCAUGUAAAGGUUGAAAGGAAAAGAAAAAUAGAAAAUUAAGAACUCCAGGUCAGAACACCUAAGAAACUGAGAUUUAUGGCCACUGAUAGGCAUGGAUAAGCCAGACAGAAGCAAGAUUUUAGGAAAGAAGUAAGAUGAGUGUCAACAUUGUUUCCAGUUAAACAAGUAAUAUAAAUAUAUAAAGGAAACUGUGAAAACUCAGAGAAAAUAACAUAUACAUCCUUUAUUCAUAAUAUAAUACCUGGAGACAACAAAUAUUAUCAUUCUUUAAUACUAUGCAUGUCUUUUACAUAUAUUUAUGUGUUUCCAUACUAAUAUUUAUACACUGUUUGUAACCUGUUCUUUUCACUUGCCAUUAAAUUAUACAUACU
rnacentral:sRNA from 1 species